UACGUAGGGGGCAAGCGUUGUCCGGAAUUAUUGGGCGUAAAGAGCGUGUAGGCGGUCCGGUAAGUCAGCUGUGAAAGUCAAGGGCUCAACCCUUGAAUGCCGGUUGAUACUGUCGGGCUAGAGUCCGGAAGAGGCGAGUGGAAUUCCCGGUGUAGCGGUGGAAUGCGCAGAUAUCAGGAGGAACACCGGUGGCGAAGGCGGGUCUCUGGGCAGUAACUGACGCUGAGGAGCGAAAGCGUGGGGAGCGAACAGG
rnacentral:rRNA from 1 species